rnacentral:rRNA from 1 species
UGAAGGCCUGGCUUUUGUUGGGUUGGAUGAGUGGCGAACGGGUGAGUAACACGUGAGUAACCUGCCCUCUUCUUUGGGAUAACGCCCGGAAACGGGUGCUAAUACUGGAUAUUCACUGAUCUUCGCAUGGGGGUUGGUGGAAAGGUUUGUUCUGGUGGGGGAUGGGCUCGCGGCCUAUCAGCUUGUUGGUGGGGUGAUGGCCUACCAAGGCUUUGACGGGUAGCCGGCCUGAGAGGGUGACCGGUCACAUUGGGACUGAGAUACGGCCCAGACUCCUACGGGAGGCAGCAGUGGGGAAUAUUGCACAAUGGGCGAAAGCCUGAUGCAGCGACGCCGCGUGAGGGAUGGAGGCCUUCGGGUUGUAAACCUCUUUCGCUCAUGGUCAAGCCGCAACUGUGGGUUGUGGUAAGGGUAGUGGGUAAAGAAGCGCCGGCUAACUACGUGCCAGCAGCCGCGGUAAUACGUAGGGCGCGAGCGUUGUCCGGAAUUAUUGGGCGUAAAGGGCUUGUAGGCGGUUGGUCGCGUCUGCCGUGAAAUUCUCUGGCUUAACUGGGGGCGUGCGGUGGGUACGGGCUGACUUGAGUGCGGUAGGGGAGACUGGAACUCCUGGUGUAGCGGUGGAAUGCGCAGAUAUCAGGAAGAACACCGGUGGCGAAAGCGGGUCUCUGGGCCGUUACUGACGCUGAGGAGCGAAAGCGUGGGGAGCGAACAGGAUUAGAUACCCUGGUAGUCCACGCUGUAAACGUUGGGCACUAGGUGUGGGGGCCACCCGUGGUUUCUGCGCCGUAGCUAACGCUUUAAGUGCCCCGCCUGGGGAGUACGGCCGCAAGGCU